rnacentral:sRNA from 1 species
AUAUGUUGUUUUAAUAAGGAUUAAAACUUCAGUUUUUUAACAAUUGUCUCAUGGAUUCGUGGUAUAGCGUUACUUAAUAACAAUUAUAAGCUGUAAAAUAUAAAUAUUUUAUAAAAAAUAAAAUUUGCAAGUUUUAAUAUAUAUUACUUUUAAAAAAUAAAUCGUCCCGCGGUAUACCGCGGGUUAAAAUCUAGUCUAUACUU